GCAUGCCUAACACAUGCAAGUCGAACGAAGCCCUUCGGGCUUUAGUGGCGCACGGGUGCGUAACGCGUGGGAAUCUGCCCUUCGGUUCGGAAUAACACUUGGAAAUGACUGCUAAUACCGGAUGAUGACGAAAGUCCAAAGAUUUAUCGCCGUUGGAUGAGCCCGCGUAGGAUUAGCUAGUUGGUGAGGUAAAGGCUUACCAAGGCGACGAUCCUUAGCUGGUCUGAGAGGAUGAUCAGCCACACUGGGACUGAGACACGGCCCAGACUCCUACGGGAGGCAGCAGUGGGGAAUAUUGGACAAUGGGCGAAAGCCUGAUCCAGCAAUGCCGCGUGAGUGAAGAAGGCCUUCGGGUUGUAAAGCUCUUUUACCAGGGAAGAUAAUGACAGUACUGGGAGAAUAAGCCCCGGCUAACUCCGUGCCAGCAGCCGCGGUAAU
rnacentral:rRNA from 1 species